UCAAAGACACAGCAGACGGCGAGCCGUCAUAAAGAGCCUGUCACCGUUGUCCAUUUCUGUAGCGGCUCGCUCUCACGCCUCUUUCUUCCUGGUCCGGGCGCAACCCCCAGUGGACGCGUUCGGACCAGCCAUGGCACCGAAGCGGCGCCGAGACGAAGCUGAGAAGGCGGAGGAGGAGAAAGGUGGGGGAGCGAUUGCCCCUCGUUGCCUGUCCCUGGCACUCCCGCCAGGAGCACCCCUGACUCCCGCCGUCCAUCUUCUCGGAAUCAUUGCGUGAGGGUGCGGAUUGGGAUCGCUUAGUUUAACUAAUCCGCCCAGUUGGGGCCCACGAGGCUGUCCAUCGUCAAAGUUGGCCGGGGUUCAUUGCAAGGGGGAGAGUCAGAAGUUGCUGAUGCUACAAAAGCAUGUGGGGACUUGGGGUUCAGGGUUUUUACUGGUCAGGAACGGUGCGUUUGUUCGUGCGUGUCCAUCCGUUCGUGCGGCCAGUUGCGCUGUCACACCGGUAUGAACGCGGAACAACCCGCUCAGGCCAUCACGGACAGUGACGAUGACUAAGCACGGUUCCGCAGGUGCAAGGGGGUGGGCUAGGGUCAGGCUUUCUGUUAUGUUUUUUAUGUUUGUGGUUGGGGUUGGCUCGUGAUGCUUUGUGGUCACGAGGUGCGCCUCCCUGGGGACACGCUUUUUCCUGGAGUGGGACCCGCUUGGAUGGGGCAGGGGAGAAUGAGCCGCAGGCACCACGCAAACACGCACGAAACGACUGCACGGCGUGACGUCGAAACGGUGCUCCCUUCUGUACCCCAGAGGCCCGCGCACGCUCUCGCCCCAUGAG
rnacentral:lncRNA from 1 species